AUUGUUUUGAGGUUUUAUCUAUUUUCCAAGGUUUCUCGACUAAAAUUUUAGGCACAGACAAUGCUCGUGAAUGUCUUUCCAAUCUCAAUCUUUUCUAAGUUUAUACGGUAUCUUUCAUUAAUCAUCUUGCUCUCUCGCACACUUCAACAGAAUGAGAUUGUUAAAAAAAGAAUCAACAUCUGGUUAUCUCAUCAAUCACAUGGCUUCCUUCGUCCUUAAUAAUCAGGUUCCUUAUUCUAUAUCCGACACAAGAUAUUUACUCCAUCCCUCUUUGUGUCUUUGGUUACACAUGUUUUGUCCAUGACGGUUACUCUUAAUAAAGAUAAAUUUUCUGUCAAAUCACUCAAAUUUAUUUUUCUUGUUACUCCUACCUUCAAAAGAGCUACAGCUGUUUUUAUCUUCAACCUUAACCUUAUAUAAUUUUUUGUCACUUUUUGAAUUUUUUUGAAUUUUAAUGAGAUAUUUACUUCUGGUUGGGUACGAGAGUCUGCGUAUGGAUACGAUAAGAAGGAGUUUACCUUGCUUACGGUAAUUUGGCCACCAUUGAAUUAGAUGUGGCAGAACAGGUUAUCAAGUUGUUACGUCAGUCUAUUGCAUCAUUUUGUAGGAAAUAUAACUUGUUUAUUGUGUUUAGUCAAUAUCAUUUCACAUAAUUAUUUUCAAUGCGGGAAUAUCUGGAAAGGUGUAUGUGUAGGACAUUCGCACCGGG
rnacentral:lncRNA from 1 species